UGGGACGAGGGCGGCAAUCAGCUGCGCAGCGCUCUAACUUUGUCCGGUCAUUAUUUGAGCUCCAUAUCGCUACUUCCCAGUCGCGCUACAUUUAGAGCGAGAGAAAGAAGGAGAGAAUUCAGACUUUUAUUGUGACUCCGUAGUAGGCCACAGCACAACGGAAUAUUUUGUUGUUGUGUGCGAAUUAGUUGUGUAUCGAUUUGAUACAUCAUAUUUGACUGCGAGUUUUGGUUGCGGUUUUGAAAUCGGGGAGUGUCGCGCCGGGUGGAAAUCAGGUUUGAGGAAUCAGUGGGAUAUGUUGAUCUGUACAUGAGCGCAGCGCAUUCUUCCGAAAGAAGGCUGCACCUCACCAACACAUAACAGCACGUUUCAUCGCGGAGCUAAGAUGAAACCACUCCUGUUCCUGCUCUGGGAGACUGGGCUAGCUCUCUCUCUGCUCUACUCGGCUGCACAGUGUGGAGCGACCCAGAGCCAGACCCAGGGUGCCGUGUUCCUGCCUGAGUUUGCUCUGUCCCCUCAGGGAAGUUUCCUGGAGGACGCUACCGAGGACCAGUUCCUUACCUACAGAUACGA